rnacentral:rRNA from 1 species
UACGUAGGUGGCAAGCGUUGUCCGGAUUUACUGGGCGUAAAGAGCGCGCAGGCGGUCGUUCAAGUCGCGUGUGAAAGCCCCCGGCUCAACUGGGGAGGGUCACGCGAUACUGAUCGACUCGAAGGCAGGAGAGGGAAGUGGAAUUCCCGGUGUAGUGGUGAAAUUCGUAGAUAUCGGGAGGAACACCAGUGGCGAAGGCGGCGACCUGGACGGACACUGACGCUGAGACGCGAAAGCGUGGGUAGCAAACAGG